AUCCUGGCUCAGGAUGAACGCUGGCGGCGUGCCUAACACAUGCAAGUCGAACGGAGUUAUGAUGUGAGCGGGAAGUGCUUGCACUAAACAAUCUUUUCAUAACUUAGUGGCGGACGGGUGAGUAACGCGUGGGUAACCUGCCCUGUACUGGGGGACAACAGUUGGAAACGACUGCUAAUACCGCAUAAGCGCACGGGAUCGCAUGAUCUAGUGUGAAAAACUCCGGUGGUACAGGAUGGACCCGCGUCUGAUUAGCUGGUUGGUGAGGUAACGGCCCACCAAGGCAACGAUCAGUAGCCGGCCUGAGAGGGUGAACGGCCACAUUGGGACUGAGACACGGCCCAAACUCCUACGGGAGGCAGCAGUGGGGAAUAUUGCACAAUGGGGGAAACCCUGAUGCAGCGACGCCGCGUGAGUGAAGAAGUAUUUCGGUAUGUAAAGCUCUAUCAGCAGGGAAGAAAAUGACGGUACCUGACUAAGAAGCCCCGGCUAACUACGUG
rnacentral:rRNA from 1 species